rnacentral:rRNA from 1 species
AUUGAACGCUGGCGGCAUGCCUUACACAUGCAAGUCGAACGGCAGCAUGAUCUAGCUUGCUAGAUUGAUGGCGAGUGGCGAACGGGUGAGUAAUACAUCGGAACGUGCCCUGUAGUGGGGGAUAACUAGUCGAAAGAUUAGCUAAUACCGCAUACGACCUGAUGGUGAAAGUGGGGGACCGCAAGGCCUCAUGCUAUAGGAGCUGCCGAUGUCUGAUUAGCUAGUUGGUGAGGUAAAGGCUCACCAAGGCGACGAUCAGUAGCUGGUCUGAGAGGACGAUCAGCCACACUGGGACUGAGACACGGCCCAGACUCCUACGGGAGGCAGCAGUGGGGAAUUUUGGACAAUGGGCGAAAGCCUGAUCCAGCAAUGCCGCGUGUGUGAAGAAGGCCUUCGGGUUGUAAAGCACUUUUGUCCGGAAAGAAAUGGCUCUGGUUAAUACCUGGGGUCGAUGACGGUACCGGAAGAAUAAGGACCGGCUAACUACGUG